UCAGUUGAUGGAAAGAAGUGACAACUUUCCUGUUUGUGGGAAGGUGAUGUUAUUUGAUGAAACGACUUGAUGUUCUGCCAUUGGAUGUACUUUCUCGUUGAUGAUGGCACUACUUCUCAAUUGUCGCUUACGGCUGCUGAUGGAGUGUUUGAAGCACAUCGCAUAUCGGAUGCAAUUUGAACUCUGCAACAUCUUGUCGCUCGAAGUUCUACACAAAAACACUAUAGGAAGAUCACCGAUGCACCUUCCAGUCUCGAGCAGGCUAUGAAAAGGCGACAU